AUUGAACGCUGGCGGCAGGCCUAACACAUGCAAGUCGAACGGUAACAGGAAGCAGCUUGCUGCUUUGCUGACGAGUGGCGGACGGGUGAGUAAUGUCUGGGAAACUGCCCGAUGGAUGGGGAUAACUACUGGAAACGGUAGCUAAUACCGCAUAACGUCGCAAGACCAAAGAGGGGGACCUUAGGGCCUCUUGGCAUCGGAUGGGCCCAGAUGGGAAUAGCUAGUAGGGGGGGUAACGGCCUACCUAGGCGACGAUCCCUAACUGGUCUGAGAGGAUGACCAGCCACACUGGAACUGAGACACGGUCCAGACUCCUACGGGAGGCAGCAGUGGGGAAUAUUGCACAAUGGGCGCAAGCCUGAUGCAGCCAUGCCGCGUGUAUGAAGAAGGCCUUCGGGUUGUAAAGUACUUUCAGCGGGGAGGAAGGGAGUAAAGUUAAUACCUUUGCUCAUUGACGUUACCCGCAGAAGAAGCACCGGCUAACUCCGUG
rnacentral:rRNA from 1 species